AAUGAUCACAAAAAUUCCUGCUUUGUUCUCAAAUCGCAUGAAAAUUCGGGCUAGGUGACUCUCACACGGUCAUUUAACCCAGUAAAAUAAAAACAUAUGCGGAACAUGCAGAAGAAAAAUAAAAAAAUAAUAAGCCUAUUUGUUUGUUGGUUCAGAGGUAUCCAGUGUUGAACUUGGUAGGGUGGAUUACAACCCAAUCCCCCACAACUACAAAUUGGGUUAAAUAAAGGGUUUACACCAACUUAUGUACCGG
rnacentral:lncRNA from 1 species